rnacentral:tRNA from 1 species
GGAGAAUUAGCUCAGCUGGGAGAGCAUCUGCCUUACAAGCAGAGGGUCGGCGGUUCGAACCCGUUAUUCUCCACCA